UACGGGAGGCAGCAGUGGGGAAUAUUGCACAAUGGGCGCAAGCCUGAUGCAGCCAUGCCGCGUGUAUGAAGAAGGCCUUCGGGUUGUAAAGUACUUUCAGUCGUGAGGAAGGUGUUAAGGUUAAUAACCUUAGCAAUUGACGUUAGCGACAGAAGAAGCACCGGCUAACUCCGUGCCAGCAGCCGCGGUAAUACGGAGGGUGCGAGCGUUAAUCGGAAUUACUGGGCGUAAAGGGCACGCAGGCGGUUAAUUAAGUUGGAUGUGAAAUCCCCGGGCUUAACCUGGGAAUGGCAUUCAAGACUGGUUAGCUAGAGUCUUGUAGAGGGGGUAGAAUUCCAUGUGUAGCGGUGAAAUGCGUAGAGAUGUGGAGGAAUACCGGUGGCGAAGGCGGCCCCUGGCAAAAGACUGACGCUCAUGUGCGAAAGCGUGGGGAGGCAAACAGGGAUUAGAUACC
rnacentral:rRNA from 1 species